rnacentral:rRNA from 1 species
CAGUCGAGCGAAUCGAUGGGAGCUUGCUCCCUGAGAUUAGCGGCGGACGGGUGAGUAACACGUGGGCAACCUGCCUAUAAGACUGGGAUAACUUCGGGAAACCGGAGCUAAUACCGGAUACGUUCUUUUCUCGCAUGAGAGAAGAUGGAAAGACGGUUUACGCUGUCACUUAUAGAUGGGCCCGCGGCGCAUUAGCUAGUUGGUGAGGUAAUGGCUCACCAAGGCGACGAUGCGUAGCCGACCUGAGAGGGUGAUCGGCCACACUGGGACUGAGACACGGCCCAGACUCCUACGGGAGGCAGCAGUAGGGAAUCUUCCGCAAUGGACGAAAGUCUGACGGAGCAACGCCGCGUGAACGAAGAAGGCCUUCGGGUCGUAAAGUUCUGUUGUUAGGGAAGAACAAGUACCAGAGUAACUGCUGGUACCUUGACGGUACCUAACCAGAAAGCCACGGCUAACUACGUGCCAGCAGCCGCGGUAAUACGUAGGUGGCAAGCGUUGUCCGGAAUUAUUGGGCGUAAAGCGCGCGCAGGUGGUUCCUUAAGUCUGAUGUGAAAGCCCACGGCUCAACCGUGGAGGGUCAUUGGAAACUGGGGAACUUGAGUGCAGAAGAGGAAAGUGGAAUUCCAAGUGUAGCGGUGAAAUGCGUAGAGAUUUGGAGGAACACCAGUGGCGAAGGCGACUUUCUGGUCUGUAACUGACACUGAGGCGCGAAAGC